rnacentral:rRNA from 1 species
AGAGUUUGAUCAUGGCUCAGAAUCAACGCUGGCGGCGUGCCUAACACAUGCAAGUCGAACGAGAAAGUCCGGGUGUAGCAAUACAUCCGGGCGAGUAAAGUGGCGUACGGGUGAGUAACACGUAGCCAACCUGCCCUCAAGCGGGGGAUAACCUGGGGAAACCUGGGCUAGUACCGCAUAACAUCCCGGUGGCGUGAGCGACUGGGAUCAAAGGCCCGCAAGGGUCACUCGAGGAGGGGGCUGCGGCCGAUUAGCUAGUUGGCGGGGUAACGGCCCACCAAGGCGAUGAUCGGUAGCCGGCCUGAGAGGGCGCACGGCCACACUGGCACUGAAACACGGGCCAGACUCCUACGGGAGGCAGCAGUGGGGAAUUUUGCACAAUGCCCGAAAGGGUGAUGCAGCAACGCCGCGUGAGGGAUGAAGGCCUUCGGGUCGUAAACCUCUUUCGACCGGGAAAAAUGGGCGGGUGAAUAGCUCGCUCUGAUGGUACCGGUGGAAGAAGCCCCGGCUAACUACGCGCCAGCAGCCGCGGUAAUACGUAGGGGGCGAGCGUUGUUCGGAAUUACUGGGCGUAAAGGGCGUGUAGGCGGCGCGGUAAGUCGAGCGUGAAAUCCCCGGGCCUAACCCGGGGCGGCCGUUCGAGACUGCCGUGCUAGGGUGCGGGAGGGGGAAGUGGAAUUCCCGGUGUAGCGGUGAAAUGCGUAGAUACCGGGAGGAACACCUGUGGCGAANGCGGCUUCCUGGACCGUAACCGACGCUGAGGCGCGA